GAGGGUAUAGUUCAGUGGUAGAGCAUGUGCUUGGCAUGCACGAGGUCCUAGGUUCAAUCCCCAGUACUGCCA
rnacentral:tRNA from 1 species